rnacentral:misc_RNA from 1 species
UCUCCGCCCCGACUUGAGUGGAGCUCUUUUUGCGCAACGAAGUGAAGCAAAAAAGCGGGAACGGAAGGCGGAUUAAGGC